rnacentral:sRNA from 1 species
CGCCCGUCAAACUAUGAAAGCUGGUAAUAUUUAAAAACGUGUUGCUAACCAUUAGGAAGCGCAUGUCAAGGAUAGCACCGGUGAUUGGAGUUAAGUCGUAACAAGGUACCCCUACGGGAACGUGGGGGUGGAUCACCUCCUUUCUAAUGGAGUUUUUUACUUUUUCUUUUCAUCUUUAAUAAAGAUAAAUACUAAACAAAACAUCAAAAUCCAUUUAUUUAUCGGUGGUAAAUUAAACCCAAAUCCCUGUUUGGUCUCACAACUAACAUAUUUGGUCAGAUUGUAUCCAGUUCUGAAAGAACAUUUCCGCUUCUUUCAAAACUGAAAACGACAAUCUUUCUAGUUCCAAAUAAAUACCAAAGGAUCAAUACAAUAAGUUACUAAGGGCUUAUGGUGGAUGCCUUGGCACUAAUAGGCGAUGAAGGACGUGUUAACCUGCGAUAAGCUUCGGGUAGGUGGUAAGAACCUCAGAUCCGGAGAUUUCCGAAUGGAGCAAUCCGGUAGUUGGAAACAGCUAUCAUUAAUUGAUGAAUAAAUAGUCAAUUAAAGCGAUACGUGGUGAAGUGAAACAUCUCAGUAGCCACAGGAAAAGAAAACGAAUGUGAUUCCGUGUGUAGUGGCGAGCGAAAGCGGAACAGGCCAAACUUAUCAUUAGAUAGGGGUUGUAGGGCUUGCAAUGUUGACUUGAAAACGAUAGAAGAAGCUGUUGGAAAGCAGCGCGCAAAAGGGUGAUAGCCCCGUAUUUGAAAUUGUUUUCAUACCUAGCGAGAUCCCUGAGUAGCUCGGAAAACGUUAUUUUGAGUGAAUCUGCCCAGACCAUUGGGUAAGCCUAAAUACUAAUUAGUGACCGAUAGCGAAACA